rnacentral:rRNA from 1 species
GGGAAUAUUGCACAAUGGGGGAAACCCUGAUGCAGCCAUGCCGCGUGUGUGAAGAAGGCCUUCGGGUUGUAAAGCUCUUUCAGUUGUGAGGAAAGGGAUGUAGUUAAUAGCUGCAGUCUGUGACGUAACAUCAGAAGAAGCACCGGC